rnacentral:rRNA from 1 species
CCUACGGGUGGCAGCAGUGGGGAAUAUUGCACAAUGGGGGAAACCCUGAUGCAGCGACGCCGCGUGAGUGAAGAAGUAAUUCGUUAUGUAAAGCUCUAUCAGCAGGGAAGAAAAUGACGGUACCUGAGUAAGAAGCGCCGGCUAACUAAGAGCCAGCAGCCGCGGUAAUACGUAGGGGGCAAGCGUUAUCCGGAUUUACUGGGUGUAAAGGGAGCGUAGGCGGCAGUGCAAGGCUGGAGGGAAAGGCGGGGGGCUAACCCCCGGACUGCUCUGGAAACUGUACGGCUGGAGUGCAGGAGAGGUAAGUGGAAUUCGUGGUGUAGCGGUGAAAUGCGUAGAUAUUAGGAAGAACACCGGUGGCGAAGGCGGCUUACUGGAGUGUAACUGACGUUGAGGCUCGAAAGCGUGGGGAGCAAACAGGAUUAGAUACCCUGGUAGUC